GCCUCGUUGGCUCAGUGGGUAGAGCAUGCAACUCUUGCAAGGUCGUGAGUUCAAACCCCGUGUUGGGUG
rnacentral:tRNA from 1 species